rnacentral:sRNA from 1 species
UGUGAACUGCAGGACACAUGAACACCGACACGUUGAACGCAUAUUGCACAUCGUACCUCCAGUACGAUGUACACAUUUUUGAGUGCCUAUAUUUAUACAUUCAACUGUACGUGUGCCUCCCUCUCGGGGGUGUGCGCGCACGUAUGCAUAGUGAUGUUUUCCCGCCUUCGGUGCGCGGUAAAACAUUCAAGAUAGUCAGACGCGACGGUGGCCGGCGUGCCAGUCGUCGUCGUGGUUGAUGAGUACAUCCCAAACCGGAGUCUCAGUGGCAGUGAGCCUAGUACCCCCGUGUGUGAGUUGUGCGGUGCGGUGUCGUGGAAUUAGGCGC